CCUACGGGUGGCAGCAGUGGGGAAUAUUGCACAAUGGGGGAAACCCUGAUGCAGCGACGCCGCGUGAGUGAAGAAGUAUUUCGGUACGUAAAGCUCUAUCAGCAGGGAAGAAAAUGACGGUACCUGACUAAGAAGCCCCUGCGAACUACGGGCCAGCAGCCGCGGUAAUACGUAGGGGGCAAGCGUUAUCCGGAUUUACUGGGUGUAAAGGGAGCGUAGACGGCAGGGCAAGUCUGGAGUGAAAUCCCAUGGCUUAACCAUGGAACUGCUUUGGAAACUGGGCAGCUAGAGUGCAGGAGAGGUAAGCGGAAUUCCUGGUGUAGCGGGGAAAUGCGUAGAGAUUAGGAGGAACACCAGUGGCGAAGGCGGCUUACUGGACUGUAACUGACGCUGAUGCGCGAAAGCGUGGGAAGCAAACAGGAUUAGAUACCCCGGUAGUC
rnacentral:rRNA from 1 species